AUGGAGGAUCUCCCAGAGCCACUGCUUGCAGAGAUCGUCAAGAGGAUUACCCAGACAAGUGAUCUUAAUUCUCUUUCCCUUGUGUCGAAGCAGCUCUGCACCGUCGAGGCGGAGUACAGGUAUGCUAUCCGCAUUGGCCGUGGACUCAAUCCAUCAACAGAAGCCUUGGUAUCUCUCUUCUCCCGGUUCCCCAAUUUGGCGAAAGUAGAGAUCGAUUACUCUGGGUGGAAGUCUACUGACGGGGAGCAGUUGAACAACCAAGGCCUUUAUGUUCUAUCAUCUCACUGCCCCUCGUUGUCUGAUCUUGCUUUAAGCUUCUGCUCAUACAUCGAUGAUACGGGUCUUGGUUAUCUAGCUGACCUCAAAAAUUUGAGGUCCCUCAGGCUGAACCGUGCACCAGCAGUCACUUCUACUGGGAUCUUUCGGGUGGUGGUUGGUUGCAGGUAUCUGUCAGUUCUCUACCUUGUUGACUGUAAGGCAGUAGACAACAGGGAGUGGCUUGAGUACUUUGGGAGGUAUGGAUCGUUGGGUGAACUUGUUGUAAAGGAUUGUGAUGGAAUCAGCCAGUAUGACCUCUUAAAGUUUGGCGCAGGAUGGGCAAAUCUCCAAAAGUUUGAGUUCGAGAUUAAUGGAGAUUAUUUCACGUUAUUUGCUCGUGAUCCCUCCAUCGUGUCUGGCUACCCAUAUAGCUAUGACAUCUGCUGUGAUAGCUUGAAGGAUCUUAGGUUGGCUCAUAUUAUAACAAAUGAAGAAAUUGGACUUCGUUUUCUCCUGGGGAAGUGCAAAGCAUUGGAGACACUUUACCUGGAGUAUGUUAUUGGUCUACAUGAGAAUGAGAUGAUUUCACUAUUCCAGAGGUGCAGCAACCUUAAAAUUGUCUCACUUCGACUCAGGCCUCUGCACUAUGAAGAUAUUGAGUAUAGGACAGCACUGACUGAUGCUAGCCUUAAGGCUCUAGCUGUUAGCUGCCCGAUGCUUCAUGUUGUUGAGCUCACAUUCGCAUUUUGCGACCCCGAUUGGCCGUUUGAAAUAGGUUUCACACAAGAGGGCAUUUUGACGCUAAUCCAAUCUUGUCCAAUUCGCGCUCUUUUGCUAAAUGGUGCCAGCAUUUUGUAUGACGAGGGGAUGAAGUGCCUCUCAUCCUCACCGCUCCUGGAGAAGCUCGAGCUCGUGGACUGCUGCUCUAUAACUGAUGCUGGUAUGAAUUUCAUUAUUCAGGCUCCUUGCUUGAGGAGUCUCACACUCCGUCAAUGCAAUAAAGUAACAGACAAUGGGAUGGCUGAGCUGGCACGUUCACAGAAGUUGGAGUCACUGACCGUGAUAGGCUGCCGCCGGAUCUCUCUGAAGGGUGUGCGAGGGGCUGCCAAAACAGUUCGCUACUCUGCAGAGUUUGAAAGCCUAGAGAGUUUAAAAGCAAUGAACAUGAACAUAAAAUGA
rnacentral:rRNA from 1 species